rnacentral:misc_RNA from 1 species
AAAAUAAAAUAAAAUAAAAUUACAUCUUCACAGAUAAACAAGAAGCAAAUCAAAAGGUAGCUGGAAACUCGAAACAAGAAACUAAAACACACUUUUUGGGUUGUGCAUAAUGAGCUUCCAAAGGCUAAGCUGGGGUGCAAGAAAUGUCAAACAAAAGAGGCAUUACUAACAGCUUUAUGGAUUUUUAACAAAUUAAAAUUGAUUGAAUUACAACUUAGUGACAUACCAAACACCACCUCUAUCACUUUGAUGGAAAGAAGUUGUCUGCCUCAUGCAUGGUUUACUUCUUGGUGAGCUAGGGAGGCUGAGAUAAUGCUUGAAGCUUCUGGAACAUUAAUGAUAUGGUUUAAAAUUGUCUAAUUUUCACAUAUGAUUUUUUAUGCUCUCAUGCCUCCUUUUCUAUGACAAUAAGAAAUCUACAAUUUGUAACAUCUAAAAGUUUGUAUCUAUGUCCUUUUUCCUUAAACAAUCCUUAGAUGACCUGGCAGACAAUGAAACAUGUUCAAUUAUCACUAACAGGUGUUGGAGGCAACAAUGAUACAUGUUCUAACAGACACAAGUGGAUGUGAUUGCGAAUCACAUAUAUGAUUGUAUUCAUAAAUGUUAGACAGGUCACUGUUUGUGGCUUUUUUUUAACUAAAAAAGUUAUUUUCGAGCAUGCUCACUGAAGUCUGUUAUUUGCAGUGAAUGCUUGCUGAAAUAGAAAGUUGAAGGCAAGAUUGGAAAAAUGAUUGAUCCAAAAUAUGCUGGUGAGAUCAUUAUCCUGAAGUUGUUAAAUCUUAGUUUGUUUUUGGACUUUAGAUUGUCUUGUCCAUACUUAUGUGACAAGUUGUGCUCAUUAUUUCUUUUCUAGUGUGUUUUCAGUGUGGGGUUAAAAACAGUGAUUUAUCUUAUACGAAGGCUGCUCAGUUGAAUGAUGACUCGUUUCAGGGAUCAG